rnacentral:rRNA from 1 species
GACGAACGCUGGCGGCGUGCCUAACACAUGCAAGUCGAACGGAAGUAAGUGCUUCGGUAUUUACUUUAGUGGCGAACGGGUGAGUAACGCGUGAGGAACCUGCCUUUCAGUGGGGGACAACAGUUGGAAACGACUGCUAAUACCGCAUGACGCUUCUUAGGGGCAUCCCUGAGAAGUCAAAGCUUUGUGUGCUGAAAGAUGGCCUCGCGUCUGAUUAGCUAGUUGGUGGGGUAACGGCCCACCAAGGCGACGAUCAGUAGCCGGACUGAGAGGUUGCCGGCCACAUUGGGACUGAGACACGGCCCAG